UACGAAGGGUGCAAGCGUUACUCGGAAUUACUGGGCGUAAAGCGUGCGUAGGUGGUUUGUUAAGUCUGUUGUGAAAGCCCCGGGCUCAACCUGGGAAUGGCAAUGGAUACUGGCAAGCUAGAGUGCGGUAGAGGGUAGUGGAAUUCCCGGUGUAGCGGUGAAAUGCGUAGAGAUCGGGAGGAACACCAGUGGCGAAAGCGGCUCACUGGACCGCAACUGACGCUGAGGCGCGAAAGCUAGGGGAGCAAACAGG
rnacentral:rRNA from 1 species